rnacentral:rRNA from 1 species
UCCUACGGGAGGCAGCAGUAAGGGAUAUUGCGCAAUGGGCGAAAGCCUGACGCAGCAACGCCGCGUGGAGGAUGACGGCCUUCGGGUUGUAAACUCCUUUUGACCCGGACGAGGAAGGACGGUACGGGUCGAAGAAGUCACGGCUAACUACGUGCCAGCAGCCGCGGUAAAACGUAGGUGGCAAGCGUUAUCCGGAUUUACUGGGCGUAAAGCGUGUGCAGGUGGUUGUUCAAGUGGUGUAUGAAAUCGCUCGGCUUAACCGGGCGGGGUUAUGCCAGACUGAGCAACUGGAGUACGGGAGAGGGGCGUGGAAUUCCGGGUGUAGUGGUGAAAUGCGUAGAGAUCCGGAGGAACCCCAGCGGCGAAGGCGGCGCCCUGGCCCGUAACUGACACUCAGACACGACAGCAUGGGGAGCGAACGGGAUUAGAUACCCCUGUAGUCCC